AAUUAAUAUUUUAUUUUUUAACAUUUCAUUGACAUUAAUAAAUUGGAACACAAUAAAUUGGAAACUGAGUUUGUUUACAAUUUUCGUAUGCCGGGUUAAUGAACGCUGCAGCACUCACCUUCACGAUAGACUUAAGCAAAAAACUUGAUGAGUGUAUGAAUCAUUGAUAUCAGCAACAACUCCACAAGGUUAGAAUAUUAUUGCAAUAAUCAAGAGAGAAGUCAGUUAGUUUAAUAAGAACACAAAUUUCCUAAGAAAAACACUGAAAACGCAGCUGUGAUCUCGUAUAUAUCUAGUAUAUAUAUAUAUAUCUAGUCAGUAGUCAGUAGAAUAUAGAGAGGAAGCUUGUAGAACCACUGACGUCAACGGUUAUUUCUUCUGCAUAGAAUCAUCGGCUUUUGGGCGCUAGCGGUAACAGAAUCACUGACAUUUGGGCACCACUGACUAGUGUUUAUCGGCGUUUAAAUUCCUUAACCAUUAA